rnacentral:tRNA from 1 species
UGUUCUUAUAGUUGAAAUACAACAGUGAUUUUUCAUGUCACUAGUCAUGGUUAGAUUCCAUGUAGGAAUA